AAAUAAAUUAGAAUUAAAAUUUCACGAUAAUGGAAAGGACCAAUCAAAUAAGAGAUGGUGCAUGUGAGAUUGAAACAUGGGGAAAACAAUUAGGAAAUGGGAGAGGGAUGGCCAUAUGGCCACCAUGCACAUGGAUGGGAAGAUUCCCUCCCACUCCUAAGUUGCCACAUCAUCUAAUUAAGCCACCUCAUCCUCCUUAUUUCUUCCCCCAUCAUAUUAAUACCGAAUAAAACAUUUUUUCUCUCUUUCAAUCCACCAAAUAAAAGGAAAAAAAAAGAGAAGAAAAGAAGAAUAGGGAGGAGAGGGAGAGAAGAGAGGGGAAGAAAAGAGAGAGAGAGCAUUGAGACGAUUGGCACAGCAAAGGGAAGAAAAAAAAUUUGAGAGGGGACAGCGCAGGUGGCCUAACCACCAUGUGACCACCACUCUCACGUAAGUUCUUCUUCCGAACGUCCAAAUAUAAGUUCUUUUUCUUCUUCUUUCGUGAUUCUCUUCCUAAAUAGUUUAGAGUGGCAUGCAUGAUAUUUUAAAUAAAUACAUUUAGGUUUACUUCAUUUUAAAUGAAAAAUUUUAACU
rnacentral:lncRNA from 1 species